rnacentral:hammerhead_ribozyme from 1 species
AUCCAGCUGACGAGUCCCAAAUAGGAAGAAACGCGUUCUAGAU